rnacentral:sRNA from 1 species
GCGAUGAGCUAAAUUGCAUAAGAUGAGAUUGACAUGCUUUUUGAGCAAUGCACAAAUGUGGAGUGCAGUCUCUCGCCGCAAUACGCACAAGACGUCCAAAUUAGGACGUC